rfam:Idiomarina baltica OS145 scf_1099451322325 genomic scaffold, whole genome shotgun sequence.
GGGGCCAUAGCUCAGCUGGGAGAGCGCCUGCCUUGCACGCAGGAGGUCAGCGGUUCGAUCCCGCUUGGCUCCA